AGUGAACGCUGGCGGUAGGCCUAACACAUACAAGUCGAACGGCAGCACAGUAAGAGCUUGCUCUUACGGGUGGCGAGUGGCGGACGGGUGAGGAAUACAUCGGAAUCUACUUUUUCGUGGGGGAUAACGUAGGGAAACUUACGCUAAUACCGCAUACGACCUACGGGUGAAAGCAGGGGAUCUUCGGACCUUGCGCGAUUGAAUGAGCCGAUGUCGGAUUAGCUAGUUGGCGGGGUAAAGGCCCACCAAGGCGACGAUCCGUAGCUGGUCUGAGGGGAUGAUCAGCCACACUGGAACUGAGACACGGUCCAGACUCCUACGGGAGGCAGCAGUGGGGAAUAUUGGACAAAGGGCGCAAGCCUGAUCCAGCCAUACCGCGUGGGUGAAGAAGGCCUUCGGGUUGUAAAGCCCUUUUGUUGGGAAAGAAAAGCAGCAGGUUAAUACCCCGCUGUUCUGACGGUACCCAAAGAAUAAGCACCGGCUAACUUCGUG
rnacentral:rRNA from 1 species